GGCUGGGCUUUUCAUUGACCAUGGGUUGGAAUAGUUCUGUGGGCAUAGUGUGUCUUCGAAGCCACUAUGUUUUCUGCACUUGUGAUUAUAGAGCACCUUGUUAGCUCAUUUGGUAGAGCGGUGGACUGUAAGAUGCUCCUUGUGUGAAACGCUGUGAUCCUAAGGUCACUGGUUCAACUCCAGCCGGAAGCACCUCCUUGUCAUUGGAAAUACCCCCAAGCCUUGUCUUUAUCUGUCAACUCCUCCAAAAUGUAAAAACACAAACAAGAUAACUCUUUCUUAAAUUUUCAACCAUCAAUUUUUUAUUCACCCAGCCUAAAAGUUCUGAUUAUCAGUUCUGGGUCCCUGGCAAUGACUGUUGGGUACAAACUGCAAAGCUUUGUUCUGCAGGUAGGGCUGGGCUUUUCAUUGACCAUGGGUUGGAAUAGUUCUGUGGGCAUAGUUUGUCUCCGAAGCCACUAUGUUUUCUGCACUUGCGACUAGAGAGCACCUUGAUAGCUCAGUUGGUACAGCGGUGGACUGUAAGAUGCUCCUUGUGUGAAACGCUGUGAUCCUAAGCUCGCUGGUUCAAUUCCGCCGGAAGCACCUCCUUGUCAUUGGAAAUACCCCCAAGCCUUGUCUUUAUCUGUCAACUCCUCCAAAAUGUAAAAACACAAACAAGAUGACACUUUCUUAAAUUUUCAACCAUCAAUUUUUUAUUCACCCAGCCUAAAAGUCCUGAUUAUCAGUUCUGGGUCCCUGGCAAUGACUGUUGGGUACAAACUGCAAAGCUUUGUUCGUCAGGUAGGGCUGGGCUUUUCAUUGACCAUGGGUUGGAAUAGUUCUGUGGGCAUAGUGUGUCUUCGAAGCCUCUAUGUUUUCUGCACUUGUGACUAGAGAGCACCUUGAUAGCUCAGUUGGUAGAGCGGUGGACUGUAAGAUGCUCCUUGUGUGAAACGCUGUGAUCCUAAGGUCGCUGGUUCAACUCCAGCCGGAAGCACCUCCUUGUCAUUCGAAAUACCCCCAAGCCUUGUCUUUAUCUGUCAACUCCUCCAAAAUGUAAAAACACAAACAAGAUAACUCUUUCUUAAAUUUUCAACCAUCAAUUUUUUAUUCACCCAGCCUAAAAGUCCUGAUUAUCAGUUCUGGGUCCCUGGCAAUGACUGUUGGGUACAAACUGCAAAGCUUUGUUCGUCAGGUAGGGCUGGGCUUUUCAUUGACCAUGGGUUGGAAUAGUUCUGUGGGCAUAGUGUGUCUUCGAAGCCACUAUGUUUUCUGCACUUGUGACUAGAGAGCACCUUGAUAGCUCAGUUGGUAGAGCGGUGGACUGUAAGAUGCUCCUUGUGUGAAACGCUGUGAUCCUAAGGUCGCUGGUUCAACUCCAGCCGGAAGCACCUCCUUGUCAUUGGAAAUACCCCCAAGCCUUGUCUUUAUCUGUCAACUCCUCCAAAAUGUAAAAACACAAACAAUAUAACUCUUUCUUCAAUUUUCAACCAUCAAUUUUUUAUUCACCCAGCCUAAAAGUCCUGAUUAUCAGUUCUGGGUCCCUGGCAAUGACUGUUGGGUACAAACUGCAAAGCUUUGUUCGUCAGGUAGGGCUGGGCUUUUCAUUGACCAUGGGUUGGAAUAGUUCUGUGGGCAUAGUGUGUCUUCGAAGCCACUAUGUUUUCUGCACUUGCGACUAGAGCGCACCUUGAUAGCUCAGUUGGUAGAGCGGUGGACUGUAAGAUGCUCCUUGUGUGAAACGCUGUGAUCCUGAGGUCGCUGGUUCAACUCCAGCCGGAAGCACCUCCUUGUCAUUCGAAAUACCCCCAAGCCUUUCUUUAUCUGUCAACUCCUCCAAAAUGUAAAAACACAAACAAGAUAACUCUUUCUUAAAUUUUCAACCAUCAAUUUUUUAUUCACCCAGCCUAAAAGUCCUGAUUAUCAGUUCUGGGUCCCUGGCAAUGACUGUUGGGUACAAACUGCAAAGCUUUGUUCGUCAGGUAGGGCUGGGCUUUUCAUUGACCAUGGGUUGGAAUAGUUCUGUGGGCAUAGUGUGUCUUCGAAGCCUCUAUGUUUUCUGCACUUGUGACUAGAGAGCACCUUGAUAGCUCAGUUGGUAGAGCGGUGGACUGUAAGAUGCUCCUUGUGGGAAACGCUGUGAUCCUAAGGUCGCUUGUUCAACUCCAGCCGGAAGCACCUCCUUGUCAUUGGAAAUACCCCCAAGCCUUGUCUUUAUCUGUCAACUCCUCCAAAAUGUAAAAAUCACAAACAAGAUAACUCUUUCUUAAAUUUUCAACCAUCAAUUUUUUAUUCACCCAGCCUAAAAGUCCUGAUUAUCAGUUCUGGGUCCCUGGCAAUGACUGUUGGGUACAAACUGCAAAGCUUUGUUCGUCAGGUAGGGCUGGGCUUUUCAUUGACCAUGGGUUGGAAUAGUUCUGUGGGCAUAGUGUGUCUUCGAAGCCACUAUGUUUUCUGCACUUGUGACUAGAGAGCACCUUGAUAGCUCAGUUGGUAGAGCGGUGGACUGUUAGAUGCUCCUUGUGUGAAACGCUGUGAUCCUAAGGUCGCUGUUUCAACUCCAGCCGGAAGCACCUCCUUGUUAUUGGAAAUACCCCCAAGCCUUGUCUUUAUCUGUCAACUCCUCCAAAAUGUAAAAACACAAACAAGAUAACUCUUUCUUAAAUUUUCAACCAUCAAUUUUUUAUUCACCCAGCCUAAAAGUCCUGAUUAUCAGUUCUGGGUCCCUGGCAAUGACUGUUGGGUACAAACUGCAAAGCUUUGUUCGUCAGGUAGGGGUGGGCUUUUCAUUGACCAUGGGUUGGAAUAGUUCUGUGGGCAUAGUGUGUCUUCGAAGCCACUAUGUUUUCUGCACUUGUGACUAGAGAGCACCUUGAUAGCUCAGUUGUUAGAGCGGUGGACUGUAAGAUGCUCCUUGUGUGAAACGCUGUGAUCCUAAGGUCGCUGGUUCAACUCCAGCCGGAAGCACCUCCUUGUCAUUGGAAAUACCCCCAAGCCUUGUCUUUAUCUAUCAACUCCUCCAAAAUGUAAAAACACAAACAAGAUAAUUCUUUCUUAAAUUUUCAACCAUCAAUUUUUUAUUCACCCAGCCUAAAAGUCCUGAUUAUCAGUUCUGGGUCCCUGGCAAUGACUGUUGGGUACAAACUGCAAAGCUUUGUUCUGCAGGUAGGGCUGGGCUUUUCAUUGACCAUGGGUUGGAAUAGUUCUGUGGGCAUAGUGUGUCUUCGAAGCCACUAUGUUUUCUGCACUUUUGAGUAGAGAGCACCUUUAUAGUUCAGUUGGUAGAGCGGUGGACUGUAAGAUGCUCCUUGUGUGAAACGCUGUGAUCCUAAGGUCGCUGGUUCAACUCCAGCCGGAAGCACCUCCUUGUCAUUGGAAAUACCCCCAAGCCUUGUCUUUAUCUGUCAACUCCUCCAAAAUGUAAAAACACAAACAAGAUAACUCUUUCUUAAAUUUUCAACCAUCAAUUUUUUAUUCACCCAGCCUAAAAGUCCUGAUUAUCAGUUCUGGGUCCCUGGCAAUGACUGUUGGGUACAAACUGCAAAGCUUUGUUCGUCAGGUAGGGCUGGGCUUUUCAUUGACCAUGGGUUGGAAUAGUUCUGUGGGCAUAGUGUGUCUUCGAAGCCACUAUCUUUUCUGCACUUGUGAGUAUAGAGCACCUUGAUAGCUCAGUUGGUAGAGCGGUGGACUGUUAGAUGCUCCUUGUGUGAAACGCUGUGAUCCUAAUGUCGCUGGUUCAACUCCAGCCGGAAGCACCUCCUUGUCAUUGGAAAUACCCCCAAGCCUUGUCUUUAUCUGUCAACUCCUCCAAAAUGUAAAAACUCAAACAAUAUAACUCUUUCUUAAAUUUUCAACCAUCAAUUUUUUAUUCACCCAGCCUAAAAGUCCUGAUUAUCAGUUCUGGGUCCCUGGCAAUGACUGUUGGGUACAAACUGCAAAGCUUUGUUCUGCAGGUAGGGCUGGGCUUUUCAUUGACCAUGGGUUGGAAUAGUUCUGUGGGCAUAGUGUGUCUUCGAAGCCACUAUGUUUUCUGCACUUUUGAGUAGAGAGCACCUUUAUAGUUCAGUUGGUAGAGCGGUGGACUGUAAGAUGCUCCUUGUGUGAAACGCUGUGAUCCUAAGGUUGCUGGUUCAACUCCAGCCGGAAGCACCUCCUUGUCAUUGGAAAUACCCCCAAGCCUUGUCUUUAUCUGUCAACUCCUCCAAAAUGUAAAAACACAAACAAGAUAACUCUUUCUUAAAUUUUCAACCAUCAAUUUUUUAUUCACCCAGCCUAAAAGUCCUGAUUAUCAGUUCUGGGUCCCUGGCAAUGACUGUUGGGUACAAACUGCAAAGCUUUGUUCGUCAGGUAGGGCUGGGCUUUUCAUUGACCAUGGGUUGGAAUAGUUCUGUGGGCAUAGUGUGUCUUCGAAGCCACUAUGUUUUCUGCACUUGUGACUAGAGAGCACCUUGAUAGCUCAGUUGUUAGAGCGGUGGACUGUAAGAUGCUCCUUGUGUGAAACGCUGUGAUCCUAAGGUCGCUGGUUCAACUCCAGCCGGAAGCACCUCCUUGUCAUUGGAAAUACCCCCAAGCCUUGUCUUUAUCUAUCAACUCCUCCAAAAUGUAAAAACACAAACAAGAUAAUUCUUUCUUAAAUUUUCAACCAUCAAUUUUUUAUUCACCCAGCCUAAAAGUCCUGAUUAUCAGUUCUGGGUCCCUGGCAAUGACUGUUGGGUACAAACUGCAAAGCUUUGUUCUGCAGGUAGGGCUGGGCUUUUCAUUGACCAUGGGUUGGAAUAGUUCUGUGGGCAUAGUGUGUCUUCGAAGCCACUAUGUUUUCUGCACUUGUGAUUAUAGAGCACCUUGUUAGCUCAUUUGGUAGAGCGGUGGACUGUAAGAUGCUCCUUGUGUGAAACGCUGUGAUCCUAAGGUCACUGGUUCAACUCCAGCCGGAAGCACCUCCUUGUCAUUGGAAAUACCCCCAAGCCUUGUCUUUAUCUGUCAACUCCUCCAAAAUGUAAAAACACAAACAAGAUAACUCUUUCUUAAAUUUUCAACCAUCAAUUUUUUAUUCACCCAGCCUAAAAGUUCUGAUUAUCAGUUCUGGGUCCCUGGCAAUGACUGUUGGGUACAAACUGCAAAGCUUUGUUCUGCAGGUAGGGCUGGGCUUUUCAUUGACCAUGGGUUGGAAUAGUUCUGUGGGCAUAGUGUGUCUCCGAAGCCACUAUGUUUUCUGCACUUGCGACUAGAGAGCACCUUGAUAGCUCAGUUGGUACAGCGGUGGACUGUAAGAUGCUCCUUGUGUGAAACGCUGUGAUCCUAAGCUCGCUGGUUCAAUUCCGCCGGAAGCACCUCCUUGUCAUUGGAAAUACCCCCCAAGCCUUGUCUUUAUCUGUCAACUCCUCCAAAAUGUAAAAACACAAACAAGAUGACACUUUCUUAAAUUUUCAACCAUCAAUUUUUUAUUCACCCAGCCUAAAAGUCCUGAUUAUCAGUUCUGGAUCCCUGGCAAUGACUGUUGGGUACAAACUGCAAAGCUUUGUUCGUCAGGUAGGGCUGGGCUUUUCAUUGACCAUGGGUUGGAAUAGUUCUGUGGGCAUAGUGUGUCUUCGAAGCCUCUAUGUUUUCUGCACUUGUGACUAGAGAGCACCUUGAUAGCUCAGUUGGUAGAGCGGUGGACUGUAAGAUGCUCCUUGUGUGAAACGCUGUGAUCCUAAGGUCGCUGGUUCAACUCCAGCCGGAAGCACCUCCUUGUCAUUCGAAAUACCCCCAAGCCUUGUCUUUAUCUGUCAACUCCUCCAAAAUGUAAAAACACAAACAAGAUAACUCUUUCUUAAAUUUUCAACCAUCAAUUUUUUAUUCACCCAGCCUAAAAGUCCUGAUUAUCAGUUCUGGGUCCCUGGCAAUGACUGUUGGGUACAAACUGCAAAGCUUUGUUCGUCAGGUAGGGCUGGGCUUUUCAUUGACCAUGGGUUGGAAUAGUUCUGUGGGCAUAGUGUGUCUUCGAAGCCACUAUGUUUUCUGCACUUGUGACUAGAGAGCACCUUGAUAGCUCAGUUGGUAGAGCGGUGGACUGUAAGAUGCUCCUUGUGUGAAACGCUGUGAUCCUAAGGUCGCUGGUUCAACUCCAGCCGGAAGCACCUCCUUGUCAUUCGAAAUACCCCCAAGCCUUGUCUUUAUCUGUCAACUCCUCCAAAAUGUAAAAACACAAACAAUAUAACUCUUUCUUCAAUUUUCAACCAUCAAUUUUUUAUUCACCCAGCCUAAAAGUCCUGAUUAUCAGUUCUGGGUCCCUGGCAAUGACUGUUGGGUACAAACUGCAAAGCUUUGUUCGUCAGGUAGGGCUGGGCUUUUCAUUGACCAUGGGUUGGAAUAGUUCUGUGGGCAUAGUGUGUCUUCGAAGCCACUAUGUUUUCUGCACUUGUGACUAGAGCGCACCUUGAUAGCUCAGUUGGUAGAGCGGUGGACUGUAAGAUGCUCCUUGUGUGAAACGCUGUGAUCCUGAGGUCGCUGGUUCAACUCCAGCCGGAAGCACCUCCUUGUCAUUCGAAAUACCCCCAAGCCUUUCUUUAUCUGUCAACUCCUCCAAAAUGUAAAAACACAAACAAGAUAACUCUUUCUUAAAUUUUCAACCAUCAAUUUUUUAUUCACCCAGCCUAAAAGUCCUGAUUAUCAGUUCUGGGUCCCUGGCAAUGACUGUUGGGUACAAACUGCAAAGCUUUGUUCGUCAGGUAGGGCUGGGCUUUUCAUUGACCAUGGGUUGGAAUAGUUCUGUGGGCAUAGUGUGUCUUCGAAGCCUCUAUGUUUUCUGCACUUGUGACUAGAGAGCACCUUGAUAGCUCAGUUGGUAGAGCGGUGGACUGUAAGAUGCUCCUUGUGGGAAACGCUGUGAUCCUAAGGUCGCUUGUUCAACUCCAGCCGGAAGCACCUCCUUGUCAUUGGAAAUACCCCCAAGCCUUGUCUUUAUCUGUCAACUCCUCCAAAAUGUAAAAAUCACAAACAAGAUAACUCUUUCUUAAAUUUUCAACCAUCAAUUUUUUAUUCACCCAGCCUAAAAGUCCUGAUUAUCAGUUCUGGGUCCCUGGCAAUGACUGUUGGGUACAAACUGCAAAGCUUUGUUCGUCAGGUAGGGCUGGGCUUUUCAUUGACCAUGGGUUGGAAUAGUUCUGUGGGCAUAGUGUGUCUUCGAAGCCACUAUGUUUUCUGCACUUGUGACUAGAGAGCACCUUGAUAGCUCAGUUGGUAGAGCGGUGGACUGUUAGAUGCUCCUUGUGUGAAACGCUGUGAUCCUAAGGUCGCUGUUUCAACUCCAGCCGGAAGCACCUCCUUGUUAUUGGAAAUACCCCCAAGCCUUGUCUUUAUCUGUCAACUCCUCCAAAAUGUAAAAACACAAACAAGAUAACUCUUUCUUAAAUUUUCAACCAUCAAUUUUUUAUUCACCCAGCCUAAAAGUCCUGAUUAUCAGUUCUGGGUCCCUGGCAAUGACUGUUGGGUACAAACUGCAAAGCUUUGUUCGUCAGGUAGGGCUGGGCUUUUCAUUGACCAUGGGUUGGAAUAGUUCUGUGGGCAUAGUGUGUCUUCGAAGCCACUAUGUUUUCUGCACUUGUGACUAGAGAGCACCUUGAUAGCUCAGUUGUUAGAGCGGUGGACUGUAAGAUGCUCCUUGUGUGAAACGCUGUGAUCCUAAGGUCGCUGGUUCAACUCCAGCCGGAAGCACCUCCUUGUCAUUGGAAAUACCCCCAAGCCUUGUCUUUAUCUAUCAACUCCUCCAAAAUGUAAAAACACAAACAAGAUAAUUCUUUCUUAAAUUUUCAACCAUCAAUUUUUUAUUCACCCAGCCUAAAAGUCCUGAUUAUCAGUUCUGGGUCCCUGGCAAUGACUGUUGGGUACAAACUGCAAAGCUUUGUUCUGCAGGUAGGGCUGGGCUUUUCAUUGACCAUGGGUUGGAAUAGUUCUGUGGGCAUAGUGUGUCUUCGAAGCCACUAUGUUUUCUGCACUUUUGAGUAGAGAGCACCUUUAUAGUUCAGUUGGUAGAGCGGUGGACUGUAAGAUGCUCCUUGUGUGAAACGCUGUGAUCCUAAGGUCGCUGGUUCAACUCCAGCCGGAAGCACCUCCUUGUCAUUGGAAAUACCCCCAAGCCUUGUCUUUAUCUGUCAACUCCUCCAAAAUGUAAAAACACAAACAAGAUAACUCUUUCUUAAAUUUUCAACCAUCAAUUUUUUAUUCACCCAGCCUAAAAGUCCUGAUUAUCAGUUCUGGGUCCCUGGCAAUGACUGUUGGGUACAAACUGCAAAGCUUUGUUCGUCAGGUAGGGCUGGGCUUUUCAUUGACCAUGGGUUGGAAUAGUUCUGUGGGCAUAGUGUGUCUUCGAAGCCACUAUCUUUUCUGCACUUGUGAGUAUAGAGCACCUUGAUAGCUCAGUUGGUAGAGCGGUGGACUGUUAGAUGCUCCUUGUGUGAAACGCUGUGAUCCUAAUGUCGCUGGUUCAACUCCAGCCGGAAGCACCUCCUUGUCAUUGGAAAUACCCCCAAGCCUUGUCUUUAUCUGUCAACUCCUCCAAAAUGUAAAAACUCAAACAAUAUAACUCUUUCUUAAAUUUUCAACCAUCAAUUUUUUAUUCACCCAGCCUAAAAGUCCUGAUUAUCAGUUCUGGGUCCCUGGCAAUGACUGUUGGGUACAAACUGCAAAGCUUUGUUCUGCAGGUAGGGCUGGGCUUUUCAUUGACCAUGGGUUGGAAUAGUUCUGUGGGCAUAGUGUGUCUUCGAAGCCACUAUGUUUUCUGCACUUUUGAGUAGAGAGCACCUUUAUAGAUCAGUUGGUAGAGCGGUGGACUGUAAGAUGCUCCUUGUGUGAAACGCUGUGAUCCUAAGGUUGCUGGUUCAACUCCAGCCGGAAGCACCUCCUUGUCAUUGGAAAUACCCCCAAGCCUUGUCUUUAUCUGUCAACUCCUCCAAAAUGUAAAAACACAAACAAGAUAACUCUUUCUUAAAUUUUCAACCAUCAAUUUUUUAUUCACCCAGCCUAAAAGUCCUGAUUAUCAGUUCUGGGUCCCUGGCAAUGACUGUUGGGUACAAACUGCAAAGCUUUGUUCGUCAGGUAGGGCUGGGCUUUUCAUUGACCAUGGGUUGGAAUAGUUCUGUGGGCAUAGUGUGUCUUCGAAGCCACUAUCUUUUCUGCACUUGUGAGUAUAGAGCACCUUGAUAGCUCAGUUGGUAGAGCGGUGGACUGUUAGAUGCUCCUUGUGUGAAACGCUGUGAUCCUAAUGUCGCUGGUUCAACUCCAGCCGGAAGCACCUCCUUGUCAUUGGAAAUACCCCCAAGCCU